rnacentral:rRNA from 1 species
UACGGAGGGUGCAAGCGUUAAUCGGAAUUACUGGGCGUAAAGCGUGCGUAGGCGGUUCGUUAAGUCUGUUGUGAAAGCCCCGGGCUCAACCUGGGAAUGGCAAUGGAUACUGGCGAGCUAGAGUGUGUCAGAGGAUGGUGGAAUUCCCGGUGUAGCGGUGAAAUGCGUAGAGAUCGGGAGGAACAUCAGUGGCGAAGGCGGCUUCUUGGGCCAUUACUGACGCUGAGGCGCGAAAGCCAGGGGAGCGAACGGG